rnacentral:rRNA from 1 species
UACGGAAGGGGCAAGCGUUGUUCGGAAUCAUUGGGCGUAAAGGGCGCGUAGGUGGUUCUGUAUGUCUACCGUGGAAGCAUACAGCUCAACUGUAUUUUGUCGGUAGAAACUGCAGGACUUGAGGCUGGGAGGGGCUGGUGGAAUUCCCUGUGUAGCGGUGAAAUGCGUAGAGAUGGGGGAGAACACUCGUGGCGAAGGCGGCCAGCUAGACCAGUUCUGACACUGAGGCGCGACAGCGUGGGGAGCAAACAGG